AGCGAACGCUGGCGGCAGGCCUAACACAUGCAAGUCGAGCGGACGUAGCAAUACGUCAGCGGCAGACGGGAGAGUAACACGUGGGAACGCGCCCUUCGGUUCGGGAUAACUCAGGGAAACUUGGGCUAAUACCGGAUACGCCCUUACGGGGAAAGAUUUAUUGCCGAAGGAACGGCCCGCGUCCGAUUAGCUUGUUGGUGAGGUAACGGCUCACCAAGGCGACGAUCGGUAGCUGGUCUGAGAGGAUGACCAGCCUCACUGAGACUGAGACACGGCCCAGACUCCUACGGGAGGCAGCAGUGGGGAAUAUUGGACAAUGGGCGCAAGCCUGAUCCAGCCAUGCCGCGUGGGUGAUGAAGGCCCUAGGGUUGUAAAGCCCUUUCGGCGGGGAAGAUAAUGACGGUACCCGCAGAAGAAGCCCCGGCUAACUUCGUGCCAGCAGCCGCAGUAACAC
rnacentral:rRNA from 1 species